rnacentral:rRNA from 1 species
GUCUAUGGCCAUGCCACCCUGAACAUGCUCGAUCCUGUCUGAUCUUGGAAGCUAAGCAGGGUUGGGCCUGGUUAGUACUUGGAUGGGAGACCAUCUAGGAAGACCAGGUGCCAUAGGCA